rnacentral:rRNA from 1 species
GACGAACGCUGGCGGCGUGCCUAAUACAUGCAAGUCGAGCGAAGUUUUUCUGGUGCUUGCACCGGAAAAACUUAGCGGCGAACGGGUGAGUAACACGUAAAGAACCUGCCUCAUAGACUGGGACAACUAUUGGAAACGAUAGCUAAUACCGGAUAAUAGCAUUAACUGCAUGGUUGAUGUUUAAAAGUUGGUUUUGCUAACACUAUGAGAUGGCUUUGCGGUGCAUUAGCUAGUUGGUGGGGUAAAGGCCUACCAAGGCGACGAUGCAUAGCCGACCUGAGAGGGUGAUCGGCCACACUGGGGCUGAGACACGGCCCAGACUCCUACGGGAGGCAGCAGUAGGGAAUCUUCCGCAAUGGGCGAAAGCCUGACGGAGCAACGCCGCGUGAGUGAAGAAGGAUUUCGGUUCGUAAAGCUCUGUUGUUAGGGAAGAAUGAUUGUGUAGUAACUAUACACAGUAGAGACGGUACCUAACCAGAAAGCCACGGCUAACUACGUG